rnacentral:rRNA from 1 species
AGGCAGCAGUGGGGAAUUUUCCGCAAUGGGCGCAAGCCUGACGGAGCAAUACCGCGUGAGGGAGGAAGGCUCUUGGGUCGUAAACCUCUUUUCUCAGGGAAGAACAAAAUGACGGUACCUGAGGAAUCAGCAUCGGCUAACUCCGUGCCAGCAGCCGCGGUAAUACGGAGGAUGCAAGCGUUAUCCGGAAUGAUUGGGCGUAAAGCGUCCGUAGGUGGUUAUGUAAGUCUGUGGUUAAAGCGUGGGGCUCAACCCCAUAAAGGCCAUGGAAACUACACAACUAGAGUCAAGUAGGGGUAGAGGGAAUUCCCAGUGUAGCGGUGAAAUGCGUAGAGAUUGGGAAGAACACCGGUGGCGAAAGCGCUCUACUGGACUUAAACUGACACUGAGGGACGAAAGCUAGGGGAGCGAAAGGGAUUAGAUACCCCUGUAGUCCUAGCCGUAAACGAUGGAUACUAGGUGUUGCCCGUAUCGACCCGGGCAGUGCCGUAGCUAACGCGUUAAGUAUCCCGCCUGGGGAGUACGCACGCAAGUGUGAAACUCAAAGGAAUUGACGGGGGCCCGCACAAGCGGUGGAGUAUGUGGUUUAAUUCGAUGCAACGCGAAGAACCUUACCAGGGCUUGACAUGUCUGGAAUGCUUGCGAAAGUAGGCAGUGCCUUCGGGAACCAGAACACAGGUGGUGCAUGGCUAUCGUCAGCUCGUGUCGUGAGAUGUUGGGUUAAGUCCCGCAACGAGCGCAACCC